rnacentral:rRNA from 1 species
CUACGGGCGGCAGCAGUGAGGAAUAUUGCACAAUGGGGGGAACCCUGAUGCAGCAACGCCGCGUGGAGGAUGACGCAUUUCGGUGCGUAAACUCCUUUUAUCUGUCAAGAAAAUGACGGUAGCAUAUGAAUAAGCACCGGCUAACUCCGUGCCAGCAGCCGCGGUAAUACGGAGGGUGCAAGCGUUACUCGGAAUCACUGGGCGUAAAGGACGCGUAGGCGGGUUGGAAAGUCAGGUGUGAAAUCCUACAGCUUAACUGUAGAACUGCACUUGAAACUUCUAAUCUAGAGUAUGGGAGGGGAAGAUGGAAUUAGUGGUGUAGGGGUAAAAUCCGUAGAUAUCACUAGGAAUACCUAAAGCGAAGGCGAUCUCCUGGAACAUUACUGACGCUAAGGCGUGAAAGCGUGGGGAGCAAACAGGAUUAGAUACCCCUGUAGUC